GGAGCGGAGUAAAGAAGGGAAAAUAGAGUCGACGUGUUCUCUUCACAGCAAUGAAGGGAAAAGAAGAGAUUAAGAGCUGAGGAGCAGACUAAAGAAGGGAAAAUGGAGUCGAGGUGUUCUCUUCACAGCAAUGAAGGAAAAAGAAGAGAUUAGGAGCUGAGAAGCGGACUGAAGAAGGCAGAGCGGACUGAAAAAGAAAUUAGGAAUUCUGAAAUCCUUUUUGUAAUUUGUAACUUGUAAUUUGUUGAAGAGCGGAAUGCGGAGGUUGGAGUUCAGGUUGGGGUUGAAGUUAGGAGAUUACUCUUUAUAAUUUUUGGAGUUAUUUUUAUUGUAAAAUUUGUGGGGUUAUUUCUAUUGUAAAAGAUAAUUUUACAGAAGAAAAAUAAACAU
rnacentral:lncRNA from 1 species